UGGAAGUCGAACGGAAUCUAAAAGUUACCACUGAGCUUUCACUACGGGGUGGUAGCCAAGCGGUAAAUGCGUAGCAUUUACCACGCGUUAAUAAAGUGCUUAUCUCAAUAUGAAGGCUGAGUGGUGACUUUUAGAUUUAGUGGCAAACGGGUGAGUAACGCGUAGGCAACCUGCCUUUCCGAUGGGGACAACAGUUCGAAAGGACUGCUAAUACCGAAUGAUGUAUAUCUUCCGCAUGGAGGACAUACCAAAGACGGCCUCUAUAUAUAAGCUGUCACGGAAAGAUGGGCCUGCGUCUGAUUAGCCAGUUGGCGGGGUAAUGGCCCACCAAAGCGACGAUCAGUAGCCGGUCUGAGAGGAUGAACGGCCACAUUGGGACUGAGACACGGCCCAAACUCCUACGGGAGGCAGCAGUGGGGAAUCUUCCGCAAUGGACGAAAGUCUGACGGAGCAACGCCGCAUGAGUGAAGAAGGUUUUCGAAUCGUAAAGCUCUGUUGUCAGGGACGAGCAGGGGGAGUAUCAACAACACUCUCUCAUGACGGUACCUGACGAGGAAGCCACGGCUAACUACGUGCCAGCAGCCGCGGUAAUACGUAGGUGGCGAGCGUUGUCCGGAAUUAUUGGGCGUAAAGGGAGCGCAGGUGGGA
rnacentral:rRNA from 1 species